CAUACUAAAUAUGAGACACACAUAGCAAAAACAAAAACGUUCGUUGUUCAACUGGAAUUCUUGCAUUUCGUCUGGCAGCCGCCUUGCAAAAGGAGAGUCCAACCACGUCGCUGGGGCCGUCCUGCAGACGCUGCCCGGCCUCCGCUCCAUCCCUGCAGGGCUCCCCGGGAGGCGUGCACCGUUGCCACGGCGACCAAAUCCCGGUCCCGGAUAACUCCCGGCACGACGGGGGCGGGGGAACCUAUCCCAGGCGGCUUCCGAUUGGUCCGCGUGUCCCCGUCCUCCAGGCCAAGGGCGGCCGCCUGCGGCGCGCAGGGUUCUGGGAGUUGUAGUCCGUGCGGCGGCGGCCCGGCUGGCUCGCAGCAGAGGCGGCGCUACGACGGAGCGGCUCUUGCAGGAGCUGAGCGCGCGCGCAACUCCAUCCCAGGACCUGGAGAGUGUGGAGGGGCUACAGUUCUCCAUCCUGGACUCUGCCUAGGGCCUGCUUCCCUGAGAACUGGAGAGAAGGUUCUGGUAUCUCUCACCCACCACCAGGAUGGGAGCAUUGGCGAGGAGGAAGAUGAGAAGAGCCUGAGGUCCCAAAGAGACCCAUCCCAGGCAUUCCAGCUGCUCCCCCCGGAGGCCCAGUGGCUGCAGCCUGCCCGGACCCAGCAGAGUCUCCACACCAGGGUGGGGCCCCAGGCGCCCUGCACCCUCGGCUCCCUCGGCGCGCCCGUGCGCCUCGGAAGCCUCGUGUCUGGGACGAGCCUCCCUGCGGACCGGCCAGAGACAGAGCUCCGAGGACCUAGCCACCCCUCCCCGCACAGGCCCAGGACGCUGCCUGGCCCUCGGGGGAGCGGCGACCAGAAGGUGGCGGCCACGCUGCAGAGGGCGGGGCGCUGGGGGAGGCCGGGCGGUGGAGGGAGGCCGGGGCGCGGGGGAGCCGGGGGCGCGGCCCUUCGAGUGCGCCGCGUGCGGGGCUGCCUUCGCCUGGCUCUCGACCCUCGGGCAGCACGAGCGCGGCCACCGCGGGGAGCGCCCCCCGGUCCCCGCCGCCUCGGGGCCGCCCGCAAGGAGGCCCCGCGGCUCCGAGCGGCCCUUCGCCUGCGGCGAGUGCGGCCGCGCCUUCCCCCGCGCCGCGCCGUGCAGCUCGCCGACCACCGGUGUCCACGCCCGCCCCUGAGCGCGAGGCCGAGGGCGCACGCGGUGCUCCUGGCGACUGCCCGUUCGCCCCCGGCUUCUGCCUUAGUUUCCUUUUAUUCGCCUUUCCCCUCCUUCCCCCCCCCCCCACCCCGUUUUCCUGGUAAAAUACACAUAAAAUUUGCCAUGUGUACCUCUUUGAGGUGCACAAUUCGGGGACAUUAA
rnacentral:lncRNA from 1 species